AUUGAACGCUGGCGGCAGGCCUAACACAUGCAAGUCGAGCGAGCGGCGGACGGGUGAGUACUGUAUGGGGACUGCCCGAUAGAGGGGGAUAACUACUGGAAACGGUGGCUAAUACCGCAUACUCUCGGAUAACCCAUAUGGGAUUAGCUAGCAGGUGGGGUAAAGGCUCACCUGUGCGACGAUCUCUAGCUGGUCUGAGAGGAUGAGCAGCAAGACGGGGCCAGAGAAGCGGUCAAGACUCCAACGGAGGCAGCAAUGGGGAAUAGGGAACAAUGGGCGCAAGCCUGAGGCAGGCAUGCCGCGUGUAUGAAGAAGGCCUUAGGGUUGUAAGUUACUUUCAGCGGGGAGGCGUUACCCGCAGAAGAAGCACCGGCUAACUCCGUGCCAGCAGCCGCGGUAAUAC
rnacentral:rRNA from 1 species